rnacentral:piRNA from 1 species
AUUGACUUUCAGAGAUCUCUACAGAAA